UACGUAGGGACCAAGCGUUGUUCGGAUUUACUGGGCGUAAAGGGCGCGUAGGCGGCUACGCACGUCCGUUGUGAAAUCGCUCGGCUCAACUGGGCGGGGUCAGCGGAUACGGCGUAGCUGGAGCAAGCUAGGGGGCAAUGGAAUUCCCGGUGUAGUGGUGGAAUGCGUAGAUAUCGGGAGGAACACCAGUGGCGAAGGCGGUUGCCUGGAGCUUUGCUGACGCUGAUGCGCGAAAGCGUGGGGAGCGAUCCGG
rnacentral:rRNA from 1 species